AGAGUUUGAUCCUGGCUCAGAACGAACGCUGGCGGCGUGGAUAAGACAUGCAAGUCGAACGGAAUAUCAUGAGUAGCAAUACGAGUGGUGUUUAGUGGCGAACGGGUGCGUAACACGUGGAUACAUUCCGGGAAGCGGGGGAUAGCCCAGGGAAACUUGGAUUAAUACCGCAUGUGAUCGAAAGAUCAAAGACGGGGACCGCAAGGCCUGUCACUUCCCGAUUGGUCCGCGGCCUAUCAGCUAGUUGGCGGGGUAAAAGCCCACCAAGGCUACGACGGGUAGCUGGUCUUAGAGGAUGAUCAGCCACACUGGAACUGAGACACGGUCCAGACUCCUACGGGAGGCAGCAGUGGGGAAUAUUGGACAAUGGGCGCAAGCCUGAUCCAGCAAUGCCGCGUGGGUGAAGAAGGCCUUCGGGUUGUAAAGCCCUUUUGUACGGGAAGAAAUCUUCUGGGCUAAUACCCCGGGAGGAUGACGGUACCUGAAGAAUAAGCACCGGCUAACUACGUGCCAGCAGCCGCGGUAAUA
rnacentral:rRNA from 1 species